rnacentral:ncRNA from 2 species
GUAAAAACAAAGGGGUGCCCGGCGGGCUGAGAUUAUACCCUACGAACCUGAUACGGUUAGUACCGGCGAAGGGAUUGUUUCUGAAGAACAC